AAUCAAAUUGCAAUCUAAUUGCAAAUCCUUCUUCUUUAACUCACUAACUCUAAGUGGGUUAAACCAAUUGUCAAUCAAAUUGACAAUCAAGAUCUAUUGCGAUUCUAAAUCGCAAUCCAACCGUUGGAACGAUCAAAACUUCUAAUGUGUAUGACCUCAUAGGUUCUAUUCUGUCUGGUAGUGAGAUAUAUUGUGAUCUCCAUCACAAUAUUAUUGAAAACUCCUUUCAAUGGGUUGAAACAAUUUCAACUCUUCUCUUCAAGGUUCAGUGAUCAUCAAGUGAAUGCCUUCGAGUCUCACAAUCCAUUAGUGACACCUAACAGCAUAUAAUGGCAACCCAGCAGAACGAAAUGGAUGAACCUCUAGGUGCAGUUAGCGUAUGAUACAGUACCUCUAUCGUAGAUUCCGAUAUGACAGAGGUUAUGGAUAACUCGUCAAAUUCCAUUGUCUGUCAUAUGUCAAAUUUAUUUGACUCAAGUUCGAGAUUGGAAAACUCUUUUUCCAAAACUGCCCUGACGAAGGUCUUUCGAACUUAGUCUCAUAAAUCACAUAGCAUCACUCCUAAUCUAUCAAGGUCGAUAGAUCCCAUCUAGAUGCAAUACCAAUCCGACAGUGAACCUACUGUAGCCAAUUUGCACCACAAUGACCCUUAAGGCCCAUGUUUAUGUGCUCGUCAAACUACAGCAACCUCACCGUGAUUAGCUAAGGCAUCACAGGUCUAAUAAGUACUAGUUAUACAACUGCAGCAUCAAGUCACUGACGAGUGGAUAAAUAUCCAAGUGACUUCUUGCUUUGGUCACGCUCAGUACCCUUGUUCUCUAACAAGCACUUGCACAAUCACUCAGUGUCCCCACACUGUGGACUUAAGACUCGUCCAUCAAAAAAAAUGAUCUGUGCACUAAUCUCAUCGGAUUGAUCACCAUCCUUCGUGAUAAUCCAUCGAUCAGGAGCAAUUCAGGAAUAACUACCUAAUGACACAUGUCUUAAAUUCUCAACUCUUAAGAAUAUGUCUUAUCAUCUUAUUAAUUCCUAGGACAAUUCAUGGAUACAUAACAUGAAUGAAUAAAAUGCCCAAUUUUUAUUAAUCAAUAAAAAGGUCAAGUACAAAUUUUAUGUUUCAGAACAAUUACAAUGCGUCUGCCAAAUUGGCUUCUACGGCAUACUUUUAACGGCUUCUAAUUAGGAAAUGACAAUAAUACGUAUAACACUGCAUUGCCUGAUGUUCAGAAACCAACAUCUUACAUGCUAAGUUCUACUUGAGUGUCGAAAUGGGGCCUAUAGUAUUUCAACAAGUAGCAACUUACUAAUCCAACUCUUGAGUGAUCUAUAAAAAACAAUUGAACAAAAUGUUUAUGCAUGUGGUUGAGAACUCACAUCAAGCAUCUUAUUUAUCGUAAAACAAACCCGUCUAUAGCCUUCUCAUGAGGCAUCUCAUGCUCAUCAUAAAAACUGACCCGCCUACCCAUUCUCGUUAAGCUAAAAUCCGGUCAAAAGAAUAUUAAUUGAUCAAGAUUUAUAACCCAUGUUCAUCAUCUAGUCACGCUCUAAGUGUCCAAUCAAUAUAGUGGAGUAUUGUAAGGAAUAGUUAAGAUCUAUACUAUAUAUUUUCUGCUUUGGACUUUCAUUGAGUUUAUUUACGACUUUAUCAUGCAAAGAGAUGAGCAUUGACUUCUCUUAAGGUGAAACUGUGAUCCCUUAGAUAAGCUCGAGCUUUCUAUUUAUACAAAUCAAACAACUUGGAAUCCCCAAGAUUAAGGUUCGAUGGAAAUCCAAAAGCCCUAAGUUCUUAAAUGGAAGUCCAAAUCAUCUUGAUAGUGAUCCAAAAAAAAUUUUGAUUCCAGAUUAUCCAAAUAACAAUAGAAAGAUAUUGCUCCACCCUACAAUUCGAGUCGCCCACUAAAAGGCUAAUAUCCCUCACUUUCUCUAUAUAAAUAGAGAAGCUUUAGUUGCCAUUGGAAAAAAGAAGAAAAAGCCCUGCUUGUUGAAAUGAGCACUCAAGGUAGAGACCUCUAUUUUCCAUCUUGCCAUCAUCUUGUUUUGUUUCUCCUUUCGUCUCAUGGCUAGACAUUACUAUUGUAAUUAGUGUGAUUACCUUUCAUGGUUGAAUGCCAUUAUAUUCUAAUCUAUGCGAUUAUUCUAUAGUAAUUUUGUGAGAAUUGCACAACUAACCCAUCAUCCCUAAGAAGAAACUCUGUUGAAGUUUCAAAAAAUAUCCAAGAAAAUGUGAUCAUUGAGGUAUUAAGUAGGGAACUUUGUUUAAUCAUUGGAUCAAAUCAGUAAAGAAUGCAUAUGAAUCUAUGAAGAAGAUUUGCAAGUACUAAUGACAAAAGCAUAUUUCAAUGACCAUAAGUUUUGAAUCAUUGAAUCAUUCAUCUAAUCACCUUGUUAUCAAAAGAAUGUUAAAGAACAUAAAAGGACAUAUUAUCGUCCAAAUUUUAGAUCAAUCUAAUAGUCCGAUUGACUUUUAUAAUGUUUAGAUUCUAAGUCCUUGUAUAUAGAUUCCGGAUUAUUUUCUCAACAUCUGUGACUUGAUGAGUUCAUAGAGGUUGCCUCACAAACUUGAUAAAAGAUCUAGUUAAACUAGUUAAAUAAGACUAGUUAAACUCGCACUUAAUUUUUUAUGCCAAUCUGAUAGUCAAAUUCAUCAUGGUAUUCCUUGGAUCUUGACCAGUAGAUCUAAUAGAUAGACGAACCUACAACUCACAGUCAAAUUCAUUACGGUAUUCCUCGGAUCUUAAACAGUAGAUCUAAUGGGUAGACGAACCUACAACUCUCUGGUAAUUUGAUGAGUUCCAAACCUCAUUUGAGUCAUUACAAUGAUCCUUCUGGACCUCAUGGAGUUCAAUUAGUAAACUCAUUCAUGUUUAAUUUUUAGGUUGAUCUAACUAUUAAUCAUUUCUAAAACUCCCAACAUUAUAAAUAACUUAGCAUCUUCGGGUCUCUCUAGCUCUCCAAUGCACAUGCACAUGCACAUGCAUCACAUGGUCCAAGGGCUAUCAAAUCAAACAACUGCACUAACAUUGAGUUAACUCAAGUUUACUGAGUGCCUAGUUAGAGUUGGUUCAUUAUGAUUCAUAGCCUAAAAUGACAACCUAAGAUGAACAUAGGUUCCAAGUUAAAUUGUUCAUGUAUGAAUCCAACAACAGGUUCACAUCUAGACCCAAUAGUAAUUUGAACCAAUUGGAUUCAAUUUGGGCACUUCUAUAGCCUGAUCAUCUAUUGGAUCAUAAUAAAUUUCUAGAUUAAUGAAAAUCUCAAAGUUAUCGUUUGCUUUAUCAUAAUGGUCAUACAUUGCUUUGUUGGAAAUGGAUGAAUAUUCAACUCAAAUGAACAUCUCUUUCUGUUACACAGUAGCAUUGGGCUAUAACAAGCUGUCUUACAAUGGCUCUUUGGAAAUGAUUAACCGUUGGAACGGCAUGAAAAGUAAAUAUGAAUGGAAUUUACUACUUGAACUCCAUGUCCAGAUGCAUCAUUAAUUGAAUGACUCAAGUGAGUUUUGGAACUUAUCAAAUUAGAGUUGUAGGUUCAUUUGCCAAUUAGAUCUACUAGUCAGGAUUCCAAGGGACAUAAUGAAUUAAACCAUUGAAUCGACCUAAAAAUUGAAGUGUGGAGAGCUUAAUUGCAUUCUUUAGCUAUUUUAAAUAGAUCUUUAAUCAGGUUUGAGAGGCAUCUGCUAUAAACUUGUAAAGUUGCAGACAUUGAGAAACUGGUCUAGAAUCCAAAUUUAUGGACCUAUAAUCUAAAACUUGCAAAGGCCAAUUGGACUAGUAGAUUGGUCGGCAAUUUGAAUGAUAUGUUUUUCCAAUGUUCUAUAACUCUUUAUGAUAUCAACGCGGUCAGAUGAAUGGAUCAAAAGUUAUUAUCAUUGAAACAAGCCUUUGUCAUACUUCCUACAAAUCUAUCAUAGAUUUAUACAUAUUCUUUACUUUGUUGAUUUGAUCCAAUCAUUAAUCGAGGUUCUCUGCUUAGAACAUCAAUGGCCACAUGUCCUUGGUAUUCAUUCAUCAAAGCUUCAACAGAAUUUCUACUCACAGAUCAUGGAAAAGUUGUACGAUUCUCAUGGAAUCAACAAAGAGUAAUCACAUGGAUUACAAUAAAAAUUGCAUGCAGCCAUGAAAGGUGAUAGCAUGGAUUACAAUAAUAAUGGCCAUAGCUAUGACACAAGAGGAAGAAAAGAUGAUGAUGCUAAGAUAGAAAAGAGAGGUCUCCACCUUAAGGGCAUCAGCAAUGUUUCAAUAGGGAGGGCGUUUUCUUCGUUUUUCCAAUGGCAACUAAUGUUUCUCUAGUUAUAAAGAGAAAGUGAGCAACAUGACCUUUUCUUGAGAGACUUGAAUUCUGGGAGGGAGCAACUUCUUUCAAUUGCUUCCUAGAUGAUAUGAAAUCAAAAUGUCUUUGGAUCAACAUCAAGACAUGUUGGACUUCAAAAUGAGAACCUCGGGCUUUUCGAUUUCAAUUGAACCUUAAUCCCGAAGAUUCCAAGUCAUUUGAUUUGUAUGUGAUAAAAAGGCUUGAAAAUAUCUAAGGGAUGUCAAAUUCAUCUUAAGAGAUAAGUCAAGACACAGCUCUCUAUGUGAUUAAGUCUUCCACAAAUUUAGUGAGAAACCUAAAGCAGAAAACCUCUAAUAAACUUUUUAUCUGUUCUAGAUGAUGAACAUGGCUUUUAGAUUUUGAUCUUUUAAAAUUCUAUGUUCAAUAAUUCCUUUGACCAGAUUCUUUUAAGCUAUCAUUACACCAAAUCUUAAUGACACAUGCACCCAUGCACGUAAAGUAGUUGGUCUAUCUUUAAGAAGAACAUGAUGCCUCACAAGUUCUCAACCACAUAUUUUCCACCAACAUUUGCUCAUUCGGUUCUCAUAGACCACUUAAGAAUUGGAUUGGGUUAUUAUUGCCAAUGUGUAGUAGUAUUGCAGGUCCCAUUUCGACAGUCAAGUAAAACACAGCCGUGCAAGACAUUGGAUUCC
rnacentral:lncRNA from 1 species